rnacentral:lncRNA from 1 species
CGCCAAAACUCCUUCAAAAUUCCGUUUAUUGAAACCCCCGAACCCGCAGUGAUUUUCUCCACGGAAAGCGCAGAAAUUCCGGGAUUUUCCCUGGGAAUUCCAGGCUUUUCCUGGAAUUCCAGGAUUUUCCUGGGAAUUCUGACUCUCAGGAGGAUCUCCCAACAUCCAAACCCCCAAAAAAAUCACCAAAACUCCUUCAAAUUCCGGUUAUCGACACCACUAAAAAUAACAGAUUUUUUUGGGGACAACUUUGAAAUUCCAGGAUUUUCCCUGGGAAUUCCGGGAUUUUCUUGGGAAUUCCGGGAUUUUUUCCUAGGAACUCCAGGAUUUUUCUCGGGAAUUCUGAAUCUCGGGAGAUCCAAACUCCCCAUAAAAUUCACCAAAACUCCUUCAAAAUUCCGUUUAUUGAAAACACAAAAAACCGUGGGAUUUUUAUAUAGAAAACCUAAAAAUUCCGGGAUUUUUCCCAGGAAUUCUGGGAUUUUUCCCGGGAAUUCCGGGAUUUUUUUCUAGGAAUUCCAGGAUUUUUCCCGGGAAUUCUGACUCUCGGGAGGAUC